AUAAUACACACAUAGUAACAAAUGCAGCUAAG
rnacentral:guide_RNA from 1 species